AUUGAACGCUGGCGGCAGGCCUAACACAUGCAAGUCGAGCGGAUGAAGGGAGCUUGCUCCUGGAUUCAGCGGCGGACGGGUGAGUAAUGCCUAGGAAUCUGCCUGGUAGUGGGGGAUAACGUCCGGAAACGGGCGCUAAUACCGCAUACGUCCUGAGGGAGAAAGUGGGGGAUCUUCGGACCUCACGCUAUCAGAUGAGCCUAGGUCGGAUUAGCUAGUUGGUGGGGUAAAGGCCUACCAAGGCGACGAUCCGUAACUGGUCUGAGAGGAUGAUCAGUCACACUGGAACUGAGACACGGUCCAGACGCCUACGGGAGGCCGCAGUGGGGAAUAUUGGACAAUGGGCGAAAGCCUGAUCCAGCCAUGCCGCGUGUGUGAAGAAGGUCUUCGGAUUGUAAAGCACUUUAAGUUGGGAGGAAGGGCAGUAAGUUAAUACCUUGCUGUUUUGACGUUACCAACAGAAUAAGCACCGGCUAACUUCGUG
rnacentral:rRNA from 1 species